UACUUGUAUGAUAGCUGUAAU
ensembl:piRNA 21ur-2409 ncRNA